rnacentral:rRNA from 1 species
GAUGAACGCUGGCGGCGUGCCUAAUACAUGCAAGUCGAGCGAACAGACGAGGAGCUUGCUCCUCUGACGUUAGCGGCGGACGGGUGAGUAACACGUGGAUAACCUACCUAUAAGACUGGGAUAACUUCGGGAAACCGGAGCUAAUACCGGAUAAUAUAUUGAACCGCAUGGUUCAAUAGUGAAAGACGGUUUUGCUGUCACUUAUAGAUGGAUCCGCGCCGCAUUAGCUAGUUGGUAAGGUAACGGCUUACCAAGGCAACGAUGCGUAGCCGACCUGAGAGGGUGGGCGGCGACACUGGAACUGAGGCACGGUCGAGACUCCGACGGGAGGCGGCAGUAGGGGAUCUUCCGCGAUGGGCGAAAGCCUGACGGAGCAACGCCGCGUGAGUGAUGAAGGUCUUCGGAUCGUAAAACUCUGUUAUUAGGGAAGAACAAAUGUGUAAGUAACUAUGCACGUCUUGACGGUACCUAAUCAGAAAGCGACGGCUAACUACGUG